rnacentral:rRNA from 1 species
UACGUAGGGUGCAAGCGUUGUCCGGAAUUAUUGGGCGUAAAGAGCUCGUAGGCGGUUUGUCGCGUCUGCUGUGAAAACUCGGGGCUUAACUCCGGGCCUGCAGUGGGUACGGGCAGACUAGAGUGCGGUAGGGGAGACUGGAAUUCCUGGUGUAGCGGUGAAUGCGCAGAUAUCAGGAGGAACACCGGUGGCGAAGGCGGGUCUCUGGGCCGUAACUGACGCUGAGGAGCGAAAGCGUGGGGAGCGAACAGG